rnacentral:rRNA from 1 species
AUUGAACGCUGGCGGCAGGCCUAACACAUGCAAGUCGAGCGGUAACAGAAAGUAGCUUGCUACUUUGCUGACGAGCGGCGGACGGGUGAGUAAUGCUUGGGAACAUGCCUUGAGGUGGGGGACAACAGUUGGAAACGACUGCUAAUACCGCAUAAUGUCUACGGACCAAAGGGGGCUUCGGCUCUCGCCUUUAGAUUGGCCCAAGUGGGAUUAGCUAGUUGGUGAGGUAAUGGCUCACCAAGGCGACGAUCCCUAGCUGGUUUGAGAGGAUGAUCAGCCACACUGGGACUGAGACACGGCCCAGACUCCUACGGGAGGCAGCAGUGGGGAAUAUUGCACAAUGGGCGCAAGCCUGAUGCAGCCAUGCCGCGUGUGUGAAGAAGGCCUCGGUUGUAAG